rnacentral:rRNA from 1 species
GUCUGAAUAUGGGGGGACCAUCCUCCAAGGCUAAAUACUCCUGACUGACCGAUAGUGAACCAGUACCGUGAGGGAAAGGCGAAAAGAACCCCGGCGAGGGGAGUGAAAAAGAACCUGAAACCGUGUACGUACAAGCAGUGGGAGCCCCACCACUAAGCCAGUGGUGAACUCCACAUACGCAUCCUUUGCUGAGGAUACGGUUAACGGAGCGAAAGCGAYGUUCAACCGCAAAAGAAGCAGAGGGGGCUUAGUGGUGGGGUGACUGCGUACCUUUUGUAUAAUGGGUCAGCGACUUAUAUUCUGUAGCAAGGUUAACCGAAUAGGGGAGCCGGAGGGAAACCGAGUCUUAAUUGGGCGUUAAGUUGCAGGGUAUAGACCCGAAACCCGGUGAUCUAGCCAUGGGCAGGUUGAAGGUUGGGUAACACUAACUGGAGGACCGAACCGACUAAUGUUGAAAAAUUAGCGGAUGACCUGUGGCUGGGGGUGAAAGGCCAAUCAAACCGGGAGAUAGCUGGUUCUCCCCGAAAGCUAUUUAGGUAGCGCCUCGUGAAUUCAUCUCCGGGGGUAGAGCACUGUUUCGGCUAGGGGGCCAUCCCGGCUU